GGCGCACGGGUGAGUAACACGUAUCCAACCUGCCGUCUACUCUUGGACAGCCUUCUGAAAGGAAGAUUAAUACAAGAUGGCAUCAUGAGUCCGCAUGUUCACAUGAUUAAAGGUAUUCCGGUAGACGAUGGGGAUGCGUUCCAUUAGAUAGUAGGCGGGGUAACGGCCCACCUAGUCUUCGAUGGAUAGGGGUUCUGAGAGGAAGGGUCCCCCACAUUGGAACUGAGACACGGUCCAAACUCCUACGGGAGGCAGCAUG
rnacentral:rRNA from 1 species